rnacentral:rRNA from 1 species
UGUCAGCUAAGUGGCGCAAUGGUGAGUAAUAUAUAGUUAAUCUGCCCCAAAGAAGAGAAUAAUUGUUGGAAACGACUUGUAAUGCUCUAUAUGCCUUUAUCACAUAAGUGAGCAAGGGAAAUAUUUAUAGCUUUGGGAUGAGACUGUACGGUAUCAGUUAGUUGGUGAGGUAAUGGCUCACCAAGACAAUGACGCCUAACUGGUUUGAGAGGAUGAUCAGUCACACUGGAACUGAGACACGGUCCAGACUCCUACGGGAGGCAGCAGUGGGGAAUAUUGCACAAUGGACGAAAGUCUGAUGCAGCAACGCCGCGUGGAGGAUGGCACAUUUCGGUGCGUAAACUCCUUUUAUAUGAGAAGAUAAUGACGGUAUCAUAUGAAUAAGCACCGGCUAACUUCGUGCCAGCAGCCGCGGUAAUACGAGGGGUGCAAGCGUUACUCGGAAUCACUGGGCGUAAAG